rnacentral:lncRNA from 1 species
CCUGUGUCUUGCCAAUUAUUAUAUGCUCUGUUUAUGUUUUCAGCGAGUGAUUUUCCAUUCCUGGUGAAGUGGUCGCAGUGAGGGUCACCGGGACUAUCCCUCAGGCAUCAGGAAAAAUACAGACCCAAACAGAAGCAGUGUCUGCCCACGGGCCAGCAAGUGCCGAAAUAUCACGGGUCCUGUUCUGAUGCGGGGUUCUCCUCCCUUAGCUCUGAUGAUCUGAUUUCGUCAACCCAAAGGAGGAGAAGGAAGAGGAGGAGAGAAGCUGAAGUUGUUGAUUGAGCUCUCAGCGUUGACAUGAGGAGUCCAUGAAACAAUCUACAGGAAGGCACCCCAAACGAAGCCUGGCUAGGAGUAGACAUUCAAUAGGUGCAUGGCACCCUGCCUUCCAGAGACAAGGUUCCCAACAACUGUGCUGAAUGAAUGGAGGAAAAAUGAACCCAAACCAAGAACACAAAUCCUUGUGUGUGAACAUAAACCUACUUCCAAAAUUCUUGAGGAAUCCCUAACUCAAGUCCCCCAAGUCCUGUUUGGUUGUGCACAGAAAGAGAUAUUACAAGAGGAGCUGUGGGAACCUGAAAAAAUGAGUGGGGAGUGGCAGUCCCUUCUUAUUAAUG